GGAACGCAUCCCUAUGCCUCCUAUGUUAUUUCAACCUCUGGUAACGAAGUUUCUGGGAACCAAGUGACGACAUGGAACGCAUUUACUUUGGCAACCGAGGUCUUCCAGCUGCAGGGGUGUACCAUGCCCAAUGUGAAACCCCUGAGCCUUGGGAAUUGUGGAUACUGUGUUCUCCAAGAUCUGGGGAGAUAUGAAAGCCCCAGACCACACAGGGCUCUCGGUUCCAGCCUCACAUGCAACCAGUGUGGAGAGUCCCACAAUCGACAGGGUUUUCAGUCCCCACUGCGCCUCACACACAGCUGAGACUGAGAGAUCCACAGUUGAUGGGACUCUUAUGUAAAGCCAGGGUCAAAAGCCCCAUCAGUUGUGGGACUCUCAGCCCCAACUGUGGGUAGCCCCUGCAGCUGGGAGCCUCUUUAUCAAAGGGGGCUCCCAGCCAUGGGAACCUGCUUCUUGACAGUUCAGGGGGAGUCCCCCCCCACACCAACAGUAAGGCACAAUAGUAUCUAAUGCAUGAUCCCACAACCAUGUCUCGUGCUUCACGUGUGUGACAUGGCAAGAGGCACGAUUGGGUAGAUCAUGAAUUAGACCCAGUCAUGCCUUUAUGUGCACAUGUAGAGGGGGCCAGAGAGAGAUCAAUUGCUUGUUACUUCUGAACUGUCAGAUCAAAUUUAGCUCAUAAUUUAGAUCACUUGUGAGUCUCUAUAUUAAAAUCAGGUGUCUUUUAUACACAUAGACUUUA